rnacentral:rRNA from 1 species
ACUGUAUGAAGGCCUGGCAUUCAGUUUUGAGGAUUGACUUUUUUUUUGUCCUUCCUUACAUUUCCAGGCCUAUGUUUCUUCAUAUACCCCAAUGUAUGUUAUAGAAUGUAAUAAUGGGCCUUUGUGCCUAUAAACUUAUACAACUUUCAGCAACGGAUCUCUUGGCUCUCGCAUCGAUGAAGAACGCAGCGAAAUGCGAUAAGUAAUGUGAAUUGCAGAAUUCAGUGAAUCAUCGAAUCUUUGAACGCACCUUGCGCUCCUUGGUAUUCCGAGGAGCAUGCCUGUUUGAGUGUCAUUAAUAUAUCAACCUCCUCAGGUUUUACUUGUUGAGUGUUGGAUGUGGGGGUAAUUUUUUGCUGGUCUCUUUCUGAGAUCGGCUCCCCUGAAAUGCAUUAGCGGAACAAUUUGUUGACCGUUCAUUGGUGUGAUAAUUAUCUACGCUAUUGACGUGAAGCAGGUUCAGCUUCUAACAGUCCAUUGACUUGGACAAUUUUCAUAAUGGACCA